rnacentral:lncRNA from 1 species
CCCGAGGAACUCCUUCUCCAGAGAUGAGUCCCCGCUACCUUGGAGGAGAGAACAAGAGGGCAGGCUGUAGAUGGUGACCUUCUGUCUACAUAUAAUACAGUUGAAGACAGCUCAGCUUCAUUAUCCAAGUGCUUGGGGAGCAGUGCAGAGGGGAUAAAUUCCCAGGUCAUCCUAGGAAUGGCCAGUCUCUAAAAUAAAAAGGGAACAGAGUCCAUAACUCUUCUAAGAAGAGGAAGCAAAUCAAAGCCUGGAAUUCAAAGCUUUCUUCAGCAGAGUCAACAGACCAAUAAAGAAAGGGAGUCCCUCUGCCUGUGGCAUUGUCCACACUCACAGGGUCCCACACUCUUAUUUGUUCCUACAGAGUAAAACGAGGCUAGAAAUAC